rnacentral:lncRNA from 1 species
ACACCACCGCCGCCUGUAUCUAGUAUUUCAGAAGAGUCCGACCGAGAUGGGUAUGUAUCUUAGAACUGCGUUUCUAAACCAGCCAUGCAGGACAUUGUAAGUUGUGACUGACUUAUUUAUCUUUUGAAUCAGGGACAAAGAAUUCGCUAUGCAAAGGUGUUCAACCGUUGGGCAAAGAAACCGAAGCGGUGGGUGUGCUAGAAUCUAGCAUGCACUCCUUGAGCAUUGCUGAAGAGGAGCAGCAUGACUCUCUGGAUGAGGAGGAGGCGAAUUAUAUGAGGAAUAGCAUGUAAGUCUUGCACAUGAAACCAUCUUAGUUUGUGUUCUUUUGUACUUCAAGUUUAUGGUGUUUGUGUGUAUUUUGUAAAUUAUUUUUAUUUACAGUAUUGACAUGGAUGAUUGCUGGGAGGAUCCUAAUCAGAAGGGCUUGGAAGAAGAUCGGGACAGCUCUGAUGAAGACUAGUCCUUUUCUUCAUCUACGGUAUGUUUCAGUUUCUAGUUGCAUUUCAGGUUGAACUACUGCUAUGUUGAAGGGUGGUUAUUAUAAUCACAAAUAUUUUGGUCUUUCAGGAGAAGACAACGUUUUAGGAGAACAUGAUGCAUUUGUUCCUUUUUGAUCUUCAAAUUGAUUCUAUGUACAUAUCUUGCUGCUUUGCAGUGCCCCAGCUAUGACUGCCAACAUCAACCAACUCCUGGAGAUAAGCAUGGAUGAAGCCGUGCGUGAUGUGGCAACACCCAAUCCUCCAGGUGAGGACAUACAAGAAACUCCAGAACAACAAAACGUUUCAGGACAACUUCAGAUUUGGAGAAUUUCCAAAACCACAUACUCAUGUAUGCAGGAAGGCGGUUUGCCUACAGCCCCCCUGUUUACAAAACCCAGACAUUGCUUGCAGCAAUCGAUUACAACUAUCACAACCACCGCAUUCCUGCACGUGGCAAGGAUGGACACCGAAUGUACAGACGGUACUUCAACAAGAAGUCCAAGCGCUGGAGUGUAUAUGUGUUGAAGGAGAGCAAAGGCUACCAUUACAUUCCAGACCUGCAGAAGGCCAUCCUUGCUGAGAGGCUGGGAAGUGGAAUGGGCCUUCCCAGAAUACAGGGUCUAAGGCCUGCUUGCCGCAUCCACAUCUGAACUUGUCGCGGCUCAGGUUUCACGGGGAGAGGGUGGUGCCCAAAGUGAAUUCUAAACUAUUCCAUUCUUUCAUAGCUGUGUAUGUAAAUAAUUUGA